UAACAUUUUUAGCCUCCUUAAACUGGUAACAAAGGCGACUUUAUUUACUGAAGUGUGUUUGAACUUGUCUUUGGAACUUGAACCGAGGUGUGCCUGCCACAAAUCAUCCAAUGUGCUGUUCAUAACCCUGCAAACAGAAAGUAAGAUUAAGAUCAAUACAUCAAUAAAAACACUGAAAAAGAAAUUCUUUUUCCUUAACCUUCCCAGUGCAAGGUCCUUCAUGUCCACACUCUAUAGUUCUUAUCUCUGUUACCACUUAUAAAUACCGACACUCCUCAGCCUCCGAAAACAGAAGUCCAGCUUGUCUUGGUGUUCACUGACUGUGGAGAUCCUGAGUGCUGAGUUCCUCCUGCCUGCCCUGCUGUGUCUCCAUUACGGUGAAGCCGUUGCUCUCCAUUUCAGGCACUCCAAGUUCAUACUGUAAAAUGCUGAGGCUCCAACCUUGUCAUCCCCGUUUAAUUAAGUCAAAAUGAAACCAAACAAGGGCUGCUAUGUGUGCUCCUAGAAGAAAUAACAAAAAUCAAAGCAGGUAAGCCAGUUGUUUUUCAAUAGACGUUGGGUAUUUGGGAGUUUCGCUCUUUAGUUCGGUUGAUUCAAUGCGGACCACCUUACCAGUGGACCACCAGUGGGUUUUAAAGGUAGGAGACUGGAAGGGGAGGAGUCAAUCACCCUCACUGGGUGUUCUCUCGAUGCUGU